AAGCUAUGUAACUUAUAACCCUUGGAGAAAAAGUCUUUUUUAGUUUUAUUUCUUCUUUUUCUAACACAUUGGACCUAACAUUAUGGGCUAAAAUAUGACAUUGGGGUAUUUUCUAAAAUUAUAAUCAUCUAGAUCUAGGGCUAAUGUAAACUUGUUAAAAAUGCCGUAUGAGUGAAUGCAUGGGUGAAAGAAUUUCAAACAUAACUUCAAAAUAGCUUACCGAAAAUAUCAGGAAGAAGAUGAGCAGUACGUGUACUUUACACAGCACGCGCAAAUAGUCCGAGGAUAGUACACAACAUCAGCUACUGUACACCAUGCGUCAGCUUCAGAUGUGACCGACAAAACGGAAGUGUGUAUAAUAAACAUGGCCGCAGGAGCUGCGCUGCGGCUUUGUCUCCCAAGGCCGGGUAUCGUACACAGCAUCAUCGUGUAUAACUAAACUCAGCUACUGAAUCCAGUUUCGUCCGCAAGUUCAAGCUGAACAGUAGCAGUUUCUGACAGAGUGAACAGUCUUGAAAGAUAGAAUUGAAGGCGCAUCGCUGAUAUUGAUUAUUAAUCAUGGCGCAGCAUGCAGUGCUAAACCUGGAGCAGUUUUCUGACUUGGGAAAAAGACGUGCACUUAUGACAGACGUUGCCAAUUUGAAUCACAGGACUCAGAAUGUCGGAGCCAAGAAGACAUUUGAGAUUGCCA